rfam:Myotis lucifugus cont2.12483, whole genome shotgun sequence.
GGUAGUUCUCGGGUGAUGCAUCCAAGAAUGGGGCUCCUUCCUCUCUGGUUCCAGGGUAUGUCACCCAAGAACCACU